rnacentral:rRNA from 1 species
GAUGAACGCUAGCGGCAGGCCUAAUACAUGCAAGUCGAACGAUAUUUUCCAGCUUGCUGGGAGAGAAAGUGGCGCACGGGUGCGUAACGCGUAUGCAACCUACCUUUAUCAGGGGGAUAGCCCGGAGAAAUCCGGAUUAAUACCGCAUAAAAUCACAGAACGGCAUUGUUCAAUGAUCAAACAUUUAUGGGAUAAAGAUGGGCAUGCGUGUCAUUAGCUGGUUGGCGGGGUAACGGCCCACCAAGGCGACGAUGACUAGGGGAUCUGAGAGGAUGGCCCCACACACUGGUACUGAGACACGGACCAGACUCCUACGGGAGGCAGCAGUAAGGAAUAUUGGUCAAUGGAGGCAACUCUGAACCAGCCAUGCCGCGUGCAGGAAGACCGCCCUAUGGGAUGUAAACUGCUUUUAUCCGGGAAUAAACCUCCGAUCGUGAUCGGAGCUGAAUGUACCGGAAGAAUAAGGAUCGGCUAACUCCGUGCCAGCAGCCGCGGUAA